UACGUAGGGGGCAAGCGUUGUCCGGAAUUAUUGGGCGUAAAGAGCGUGUAGGCGGUCCGGUAAGUCCGCUGUGAAAGUCGGGGGCUCAACCCUCGGAUGCCGGUGGAUACUGUCGGGCUAGAGUGCGGAAGAGGCGAGUGGAAUACCUGGUGUAGCGGUGAAAUGCGCAGAUAUCAGGAGGAACACCAAUUGCGAAGGCAGCUCGCUGGGACGUAACUGACGCUGAGACGCGAAAGCGUGGGGAGCAAACAGG
rnacentral:rRNA from 1 species